rnacentral:lncRNA from 1 species
GUCCAAAGUACACGGAUGCCCCAUCCGCACUAUCAUUUUCUAUGUGCAAUGGACCGUGAAAAUGAGAAAAAAUCUCUAAUUUGGCAUUUAAAUUAGAAAGAUCAUAUCAUAGGGAGCAUGCGUACUAAGUUUCAAGUAGAUUGUACUUCUACUUCAUCAAAAAUUACCUUGACCAAAAACUUUAACCUUAAGCGGGACAAAAGGACGGAAUAACGAACAGACGAACGGACGAACUAACGAACGGACGAACAGACAGACGUACAGACCAGAAAUCAAAUGCCCAUAUAUGGAGAAUAAAAAGAAAGAUGUUGUUAGAUUGCCCACGAAAAAAACUAAAGGAAACACCAAAGAUGUGACAAAAUUACAAGUCAUCAAAUGACCGUCAACACUGGGAAAGUUCUAUACCGUAAAGUUAUACUGGAGAGAACUACUAAACUUUCACAGGAAAAGUAGAAAUCGUAGUCGAUUAAGAUUGAAGUCGAAUGUACCUGUUACACGCGGGAUUCGAACUCGCACAACAUCAGUGUUGACAGGCUAGUAAUACAGUAGAGGCAGUACUUGAACAAUGUCACACUAGGCUCCGAUCCGUUCUAAAUAUUUUGAAAGCUUUUCAAAGCAAAAACCAUUUUCAUUUGUUUAAAGCCAGUCUUUUUUAGAUGGUAAAUGCUGCUAUGCGAAAUCUUGUAACUAGUGCGCUUCAUAUUAUCAUAAAACACAUAAAAAUGUUUCAACUAAUUUACUUUUAUUUAUUUUCACAGUUUGUUUCAAAAUUCAAAAGUCAAUCGCCAAUUUUAAGGUUCUUUAGAAAACAUUAAACCAAGAAAACUUUUAACCGAAUAGGUAUAACUGCAUAAGCUUGGUUCAAGUAGUUGCAUACACAGUUUUAACAUAUUUAAUAAAUCAAAAAUGACUAGUCAUACAUGCUCAACCUGUUAAAAUAUAAGUUAUGAAUAGAAUUUAAAUGUUUACGGAUUUUCCCACAAGGUUUAUUUUUAGCGUCUGUGUCAUGAUAAAAAAAAACGCUACACCAAUGGCUACGUCAUCGUUACAUAACAUAUUUUCUGUAAGGCAGUACGAUAUCUUGUAUGGAAUUUUUUUUUAAAUAUGGGCGUUUUUGUAAGUAAUUAUAUCCUUAACAUGUAAUGGUUGCAAAAAUCAUCUCACUUUAUAGGGAACAUGACCUAGCUCAACAAAACAAGUUUCAUUUUUUUUUUAAAUAUUUUAUGUGAACUUUAUGAAGGAGUGAUCCAUAAACUGUGUGUAAACACCAAAAUUAGCCGUGGUAUAAAUUUAUAAGUAUUAUGAAAGACCAAACAUCUAAAUCGGUAACUCAUUAGACAC